AUACGUAGGGAGCGAGCGUUGUCCGGAAUUACUGGGUGUAAAGGGAGCGUAGGCGGGAUGGCAAGUCAGAUGUGAAAACUAUGGGCUCAACCCAUAGACUGCAUUUGAAACUGUUGUUCUUGAGUGAAGUAGAGGUAAGCGGAAUUCCUGGUGUAGCGGUGAAAUGCGUAGAUAUCAGGAGGAACAUCGGUGGCGAAGGCGGCUUACUGGGCUUUUACUGAGGCUGAGGCUCUAAAGCUUGGGGAGCAAACAGGAUUAGAUACCCUGGUAGUCCACGCUGUAAACUAUGAUUACUAGGUGUGGGGGGACUGACCCCAUCCGUGCCGCAGUUAACACAAUAAGUAAUCCACCUGGGGAGUACGGCCGCAAGGUUGAAACUCAAAUGAAUUGACGGGG
rnacentral:rRNA from 1 species